rnacentral:misc_RNA from 1 species
AACGCAAGUUGCGCCCGAGGCCACUCGGCCGAGGGCACGCCUGCCUGGGCGUCACGCCAAAACACGCUCCCACACCCCUCAUUGGGAAUCGGGAUGCGGCAUCUGGUCCCUCGUCUCGCAAGGGGCGGUGGACCGAAGUUCGGGCUGCCGGCGUACCGUGUCAAACACAGCGCGUGGUGGGCGUCUUUGCUUUAUCAACGCAGUGCAUACGACGCGUAGCCGGCAUGAUGGCCUCAAAACGACCCAACAAACGUAGCGCACGUCGCUUCGACCGCGACCCCAGGUCAGGCGGGACUACCCGCUGAGUUUAA